rnacentral:rRNA from 1 species
GUUCCAGACUCCUACGGGAGGCAGCAGUGGGGAAUAUUGCACAAUGGGGGAAACCCUGAUGCAGCGACGCCGCGUGAGUGAAGAAGUAUUUCGGUAUGUAAAGCUCUAUCAGCAGGGAAGAAAAUGACGGUACCUGACCAAGAAGCCCCGGCUAACUACGUGCCAGCAGCCGCGGUAAUACGUAGGGGGCAAGCGUUAUCCGGAUUUACUGGGUGUAAAGGGAGCGUAGACGGCUGAGCAAGUCAGAAGUGAAAGCCCGGGGCUCAACCCCGGGACUGCUUUUGAAACUGCGGAGCUGGAGUGCAGGAGAGGUAAGCGGAAUUCCUGGUGUAGCGGUGAAAUGCGUAGAUAUCAGGAGGAACACCAGUGGCGAAGGCGGCUUACUGGACUGUAACUGACGUUGGGGCUCGAAAGCGUGGGGAGCAAACAGGAUUAGAUACCCUAGUAGA